rnacentral:rRNA from 1 species
GAGCGGGCCUUUCGGGGUCAGCGGCGGACGGGUGAGUAACGCGUGGGAACGUGCCCUCUGGUUCGGAAUAACUCAGGGAAACUUGAGCUAAUACCGGAUACGCCCUUUUGGGGAAAGGCUUGCUGCCGGAGGAUCGGCCCGCGUCUGAUUAGCUAGUUGGUGAGGUAACGGCUCACCAAGGCGACGAUCAGUAGCUGGUCUGAGAGGAUGAUCAGCCACACUGGGACUGAGACACGGCCCAGACUCCUACGGGAGGCAGCAGUGGGGAAUAUUGGACAAUGGGCGCAAGCCUGAUCCAGCCAUGCCGCGUGAGUGAUGAAGGCCUUAGGGUUGUAAAGCUCUUUUAUCCGGGACGAUAAUGACGGUACCGGAGGAAUAAGCCCCGGCUAACUUCGUG